rnacentral:rRNA from 1 species
UACAGAGGUCUCAAGCGUUGUUCGGAUUCAUUGGGCGUAAAGGGUGCGUAGGUGGCGCCGUAAGUCAGGUGUGAAAUCUCGGGGCUCAACCUCGAAACUGCACUUGAUACUGUGGUGCUGGAGUACUGGAGAGGAGAUUGGAAUUUACGGUGUAGCAGUGAAAUGCGUAGAUAUCGUAAGGAAGACCAGUGGCGAAGGCGAAUCUCUGGACAGUUACUGACACUGAGGCACGAAGGCCAGGGGAGCAAACGGG